AGCGAACGCUGGCGGCAGGCCUAACACAUGCAAGUCGAACGAAGUCUUCGGACUUAGUGGCGGACGGGUGAGUAACACGUGGGAACGUGCCCUUUGGUACGGAAUAACUCAGGGAAACUUGAGCUAAUACCGUAUGUGCCCUUCGGGGGAAAGAUUUAUCGCCAUUGGAGCGGCCCGCGUCUGAUUAGCUAGUUGGUGAGGUAAAGGCUCACCAAGGCGACGAUCAGUAGCUGGUCUGAGAGGAUGAUCAGCCACAUUGGGACUGAGACACGGCCCAAACUCCUACGGGAGGCAGCAGUGGGGAAUCUUGCGCAACGGGCGCAAGCCUGAUCCAGCCAUGCCGCGUGAGUGAUGAAGGCCUUAGGGUUGUAAAGCUCUUUCGUCAGGGAAGAUAAUGACGGUACCUGAAGAAGAAGCCCCGGCUAACUUCGUGCCAGCCGCCGCGGUAAGAC
rnacentral:rRNA from 1 species